rnacentral:antisense_RNA from 1 species
CUUCAGCGAGCCGAGCCAGAGCGGCCGUCCGUCCGGCCGCUCCUUGCCGUAGGUGGACAGGAGGGCCUGUGCCUC